GGAAGGUGGGGAGUGACGUCAAGUCAUCAUGGCCCUUACGGCCUGGGCGUACACACGUGCUACAAUGGUCGGUACAAAGGGUUGCCAAGCCGCGAGGUGGAGCUAAUCCCAUAAAACCGAUCGUAGUCCGGAUCGCAGUCUGCAACUCGACUGCGUGAAGUCGGAAUCGCUAGUAAUCGUGAAUCAGAAUGUCACGGUGAAUACGUUCCCGGGCCUU
rnacentral:rRNA from 1 species